rfam:Myotis lucifugus cont2.66477, whole genome shotgun sequence.
AGCAGUUCUCGGGUGAUGCACCCCGGGACCAGAAAGGAGGGAGCCCGAUUCUGGGGUGCAUCACCCAAGAACCGCC